rnacentral:ncRNA from 22 species
UCCGUAGGUGAACCUGCGGAAGGAUCAUUAA